UGCAUCAAUUCUUGGUCUUGCUAUGCUCUCUCUCAAGUCAUCAAAACGAGGAAAAGCAUGAUCCAUCAUACUUCCCCUAGGCACGUUUGCAUUAACAACUUCUUCCCCUUGGGCUUCAUUUUCAUUGUUUUGACCAUUUCCAGCAUUACCAACACCAAUUCUAAUUCUUUCAUCAGCCAUGUCUGCUUCAAUUUCAAUCUCUCUCACAGCUUCCUUCCUUUUUCUGGUCUCUUUCUUAUUGGCUUUACAAAAUUUCUUAAUUUCAGGAUUGAACAGUAAGGUUGUGUCACUUGAGCUUCUAGCUCUUCUCAUAAAAGA
rnacentral:misc_RNA from 1 species